rnacentral:tRNA from 1 species
GCCUGGGGAUCCAAAUUGAUGUCUCGCAUCAGACUCAAAAUCUGACGGGGGCGACCCCAUGCCGGUUCGACUCCGGCCCUCGGUACCA